UACAGAGGGUGCGAGCGUUAAUCGGAAUUACUGGGCGUAAAGCGUGCGUAGACGGUUAUUUAAGUCGGGUGUGAAAGCCCCGGGCUCAACCUGGGAAUUGCAUUCGAGACUGCAUGGCUGGAGUGCGGCAGAGGGGGAUGGAAUUCCGCGUGUAGCAGUGAAAUGCGUAGAUAUGCGGAGGAACACCGAUGGCGAAGGCAAUCCCCUGGGCCUGCACUGACGCUCAUGCACGAAAGCGUGGGGAGCAAACAGG
rnacentral:rRNA from 1 species